AGCAGCCGCGGUAAUUCCAGCUCCAAUAGCGUAUAUUAAAGUUGUUGCAGUUAAAAAGCUCGUAGUUGAAUUUCGGGAUCAAGUCGUCGGUCGUGCCUCGGUACGCACUGGUGACAUUGGUUUCUCCCUUCUGAAGAACCUUGAUGUCAUUAAUUUGGUGUCUUGGGGAAUCAGGACUGUUACUUUGAAAAAAUUAGAGUGUUUAAAGCAAGCUCACGCUUGAAUACAUUAGCAUGGAAUAAUGAAAUAGGACGUUUGAUUCUAUUUUGUUGGUUUCUAGGAUCGACGUAAUGAUUAAUAGGGAUAGUUGGGAGCAUUAGUAUUCAAUUGUCAGAGGUGAAAUUCUUGGAUUUAUUGAAGACUAACUACUGCGAAAGCAUUUGCCAAGGAUGUUUUCAUUAAUCAAGAACGAAAGUUAGGGGAUCGAAGACGAUCAGAUACCGUCGUAGU
rnacentral:rRNA from 1 species